rnacentral:rRNA from 1 species
UACGGAGGGGGCUAGCGUUGUUCGGAAUGACUGGGCGUAAAGCGCGCGUAGGCGGAUCAGAAAGUUGGGGGUGAAAUCCCGGGGCUCAACCUCGGAAUGGCCUUCAAAACUCCUGGUCUUGAGUUCGAGAGAGGUGAGUGGAAUUCCGAGUGUAGAGGUGAAAUUCGUAGAUAUUCGGAGGAACACCAGUGGCGAAGGCGGCUCACUGGCUCGACACUGACGCUGAGGUGCGAAAGCGUGGGGAGCAAACAGGA